rnacentral:rRNA from 1 species
GACGAACGCUGGCGGCGUGCCUAACACAUGCAAGUCGAGCGGGGAACGGAUGGUAGCUUGCUACUGUUGUUUCUAGCGGCGGACGGGUGAGUAACGCGUGAGCAACCUGCCUUAUCAGGGGGAUAACGCAUCGAAAGAUGUGCUAAUACCGCGUAAGACCACAGCUUCACAUGGAGCGGGGGUCAAAGGAGCAAUCCGGAUAAAGAUGGGCUCGCGUCCGAUUAGCUAGUUGGUGAGAUAACAGCCCACCAAGGCGACGAUCGGUAGCCGACCUGAGAGGGUGAUCGGCCACAUUGGAACUGAGAGACGGUCCAGACUCCUACGGGAGCAGCAGUGGGAAUAUUGGGCAAUGGGCGAAAGCCUGACCAGCAACGCCGCGUGA